rnacentral:rRNA from 1 species
CGGUGAAUACGUUCCCGGACCUUGUACACACCGCCCGUCAAGCCAUGAAAGUCGGGGAGACCUGAAGACAGUAACCGCGAGGAGCUGUUUAGGGUAAAAUCGGUAAUUAGGGCU